GACGAACGCUGGCGGCGUGCUUAACACAUGCAAGUCGAACGGAAAGGCCCUGCUUUUGUGGGGUGCUCGAGUGGCGAACGGGUGAGUAACACGUGAGUAACCUGCCCUUGACUGUGGGAUAACUUCAGGAAACUGGGGCUAAUACCGGAGAGGAGCUCCUGCUGCAUGGUGGGGGUUGGAAAGUUUCGGCGGUUGGGGAUGGACUCGCGGCUUAUCAGCUUGUUGGUGGGGUAGUGGCGUACCAAGGCUUUGACGGGUAGCCGGCCUGAGAGGGUGACCGGCCACAUUGGGACUGAGAUGCGGCCCAGACUCCUACGGGACGCAGCAGUGGGGAAUGUUGCACGAUGGGCGGCAGCCUGAUGCAGCAACGCCGCGUGCGGGAUGACGGCCUUCGGGUUGUAAACCGCUUUCGCCUGUGACGAAGCGUGAGUGACGGUAAUGGGUAAAGAAGCACCGGCUAACUACGUG
rnacentral:rRNA from 1 species